rnacentral:rRNA from 1 species
GCGAAAACUUUACAAUGCGGGAAACCGUGAUAGGGGAACUCCGAGUGCCCGUUAAAUCGGGCUGUCCACCAGUUUAAAUAACUGGUGAAGAAAGGGCCGGGCAAGACCGGUGCCAGCCGCCGCGGUAAUACCGGCGGCUCGAGUGGUGGCCACUAUUACUGGGCUUAAAGCGUUCGUAGCUGGUUUGUUAAGUCUCUGGGGAAAUCUUCCGGCUUAACCGGAAGGCGUCUCAGGGAUACUGGCAGACUAGGGACCGGGAGAGGUGAGGGGUACUCCAGGGGUAGGAGUGAAAUCCUGUAAUCCUUGGGGGACCACCUGUGGCGAAGGCGCCUCACCAGAACGGCUCCGACAGUGAGGGACGAAAGCUGGGGGAGCAAACC